CAGGACGCCUACUGCAAAUACACGGACUGCCAUUGUCCCAUUUUCCCAGAGCGGGCUUGAGGUCAGACGAGAAGAGUUCAGCACAGAGGGGGUAAGUGCCUUGGCCAGAAUCAAUGCACCCAGCAAGAAGCAGAGCCAGGGUUCUGGGUGGGUCUGCCUCCAAACUUACACUCCUAAUCACAGCCUGAUGAGGCUUUUACACUGGGUAGUGCAUGAUAGCUGAUCAGCUUCUAGCAAAGCUUGUGACGCAGAGAAAUUAUUCUGUUGAUAUUUAUUUAAUAUGUGGACCCAGGAUCUCUCUGAUAGAUACACAACACUUCAUUUUAUGGUUGGGUAUGCUGAGGGUCAGUGUGGCCAAGUGACUUCCAAAGGCCACAAAGCUAGUGAAGAAUGGAAUGAGGUCAGGAGACCAGGUCUCCUCAACUUCAAUCCAGAGCUGUCGCUUUUGCGUAGGGCUGGAGGGCAGCUGACAACUGUAUUCUCAGUCGAGGUGGAAGCUUCUUUGGUCCCUGGCCUGUACUGGCUCUAAAUCCCAUUUUCAGCAACACGCACUUUGGACACUUGAGAUUUAAGGUGCUGUCUCCACUUAAGAUCACAAAAAUGUGGUAAGAUAGUAUUUUUGAUUUGUAACACUACCGGCAUUUCUUACAUUUGAGUGGCACUACAUACUUCACAAAAUUAGUUUACAAAUAUUCUCAUGUAGUCCUUACCAUUUCCUGUACUGACACUAGACUUUAGCUUUUUUUUUUUUUUUUUAAGAUUUUAUUUUCUUAGGUAAUCUCUACACCCAACAUGGGGCUCGAACUCGGAACGCUGAGAUCAACAGUCACAUGCUCCAUCAACUGAGCCAGCCAGGCAGCCCUACCCUCCUGCCUUUUUUUUUUUAAAGAUUUUAUUUAUCUUUAAAUUUUAUUCAUUUAUUUUUUUUUGACACGAGACUUCAAAAUUGGGUUGAUUCUUCUAGAACCUCACCCUUAUCAACAUCUAAUAUAAAAGGAAAUCCAAUGCUACUAAAUAGCUAUCGAUCAAGUAAUCUCACAGGUCUUUCCCCUUCCCACUCUAUCACAUUAUCUUUGGUUUGAUUUUACCUCCUUAGCGCUGACUUUGGUUUCCUUCUCUAUCUCACCCAAAAAUGCCUCUUUCUCUGUGCUUGGCACGUAAACCUCUACUCUCCUGCUGGGUUCUUAUUUAAUCCACACUAGGGUCUUGGAAGCUCACCUAUCACAAGAAUAAGGUCCCGGAUUUGGGUAGUAUCUGCCUUGAUGCGUCAGGUCUGUGCUUAAGGACCAGCCUGUGAAUAAAGGUUUCUGUGUUUCUCAAAUGAGGAAAUAGGCUCACACAGUCCAUGUAACUUGCUUAAGAGUAGAGCAGAGCCUGCUGGUUGUUCCUCAAAACUCAUCUCAUUAAUUUUUGCCAAUAUGACUUGAGAUUUUUAGCUGGCCACAUGGUCUAAAAUAAGACUACAGUUCUUAUAGUCACCUGACCAAGUUCUAACUACUGGGAUGUAAGCAGAAGGCAGAAAAGGCGGCCUGGAGGACAUCUGUUAAGUACCUUCUGCUCCCUUUCUUCUUCAACGUCUCUUCCUUUGUGAUGGCUGCAACGUGAACUGGAUGGGCGAAGCCCAAGAAGUUGUCUUAAGGCAUGAUGUGGAAGCCGCGUGUGAAAGACGAUGGAACAACGAAAUAUUAGACUUCACCCUACGAGACUGUAAACUUCUGGAUUCUGUGAUAUGACAGCCACAUCUUUCAUUUGCCAAGUUACUGUGUCACGGGAAAGUGGCAGUGCUGUGAUUUCUGCUGACUUCUUUCAGCAGACAUUCGGCAGCAGGUUUUCUUCAGCUCUUAGCUACUGACUGUUCAUCUUCAGCCAAUGCACCAUAAUGAGCCCUGGAAGAUGCGUCCGUGGAUUUUCCACUUUAGUUUGAAAAGUUGCAACAAACAGUUGUUGGCUUAAAGGGCUUAUUGCACCUUGAUUUAAAAUAUUCCAUUUCUGUUUCCCCAACUCUGGACGCUUGAUUUUAGAAUAACAUCUCAAUUUAACUGGCACCUUAAUACUAUUAAAAAAUGCUGCAUUGCUGGGUCACCUGGGUGGCUCAGUCGGUUGAGCGUCUGACUUCGGCCCAGGUCAUAAUCGCCCAGUUUGUGGGUUUGAGCCCCGCGUCGGACUCUGUGCUGACAGCUUGGAGCCUGGAGCCUGCUUCGGAUUCUGUGUCUCCCUCUCUCUCUGCCCCUCCCCUGCUCAUGCUCUGUCUCUCUCUGUCUCAAUAAAAAUAAAAACAUUAAAG